UCUCUCUCUCUCUCUCUCCCCACCCAAUCUCUUUUUCAUUUUCAAUUCGAAUUCCACCAAUUCACAAAUAAAUUGAAUCAUCGAAUCCGAUAAGCACGGGCAAGCGGCUCAGUGUCGAGGCUCUAGAGCUCAGUUUCUCCUCAAAUAGUGAAGACCACGGCAACCGGAAGCUGGAGCUGCUGGGCUUGGAGGGCAAGUGACAAACGAGGAGGUCAAGAGCUUGAACAAAUGGUCAGAGCUAUUUCUUCAUGCUUUUUGCUUUUCAAUUUGUUAGGUGCUUCAUUUGGCACCUCCUUUUUAAUAUGAGGGAUGAGUUUUUAUUAUCUAAUUAUCUCUUAAAAUUUCUUUUA